rfam:Picea glauca, whole genome shotgun sequence.
AUGUAUAUUCCUACAACAUAGUGUUAAUGCACCGGAUCCCAUUAGAACUCCGCAGUUAAGCACGUUCAGGGUAGAGUAGUAUUGCGAUGGGUGACCGCCUGGGAAGUCCUAGUGUUUUACAUG